GAUGAAGGUAGCGAAAUGCGAUAAGUAAUGUGAAUUGCAGAAUUCAGUGAAUCAUCGAAUCUUUGAACGCACAUUGCGCCCCCCAGUAUUCUGGCGGGCAUGCCUGUUCGAGCGUCAUUUCAACCAUCAAGCCCUGCUUGUGUUGGGGUCCUGCGGCUGCCCGCAGGCCCUGAAAACCAGUGGCGGGCUCGCUAGUCACACCGAGCGCAGUAGCACAUCUCGCUCAGGGCGUGCGGCGGGCUCCAGCCGUUAAAGCACCCACCUUUCGCAAGGUUGACCUCGGAUCAGGUAGGAAUACCCGCUGAACUUAAGCAUAUCAAUAAGCGGAGGA
rnacentral:misc_RNA from 1 species